UAUUUCCGCAACGCCAUCCCGAGACAAGAGGCUAGUUCCACAACUGCGAGGGCCAUGAAUUCGGUCUCGAUGGUCUGCAGCAAGAAGCCUGUCGAUCUGUUGCUGCCCCAGCGUCCCGCCCCCAGCGGAUCCUGACCUCACAGUCACUGAAGGAGUUUUCAACGUAGAAUCCUAAGCACUGGCCUGGACUGCAGUUUGGUUGAUACUUCAAGGUUUUUCCGAGGUGCAAAUAACAACCAAGAAGGAUUUUAUUUCACUCCCCACAGCAACGAAUCUUUUUAGCAGUAUGUCACCAGAAGGUUGCCUUUCAAGACCGUGGAACUCCACUCCUUGAUGGAAAGAUCAAGACUGUUUCAUCUUCUUGUGGAGAUCUGCUUCUCCAGACUGACUGAUUUUCUCAUUAUGAGCCUGCUUUACCUGUGCUUUUCUGUAGCACAUGAUGUUCAUAUUUGCUGUCACCGUUGAGAAAGAUUCCGUUUCUUUUGAAUGGAGAGAGAAGGGAGGAGGGAGGGUGCUUCUCAAAGAAAACAAACAUUUUGUUGGGGUUUCAACUUGUUUCAAACCAUCAAGCUGCUCUACUCCUGUG
rnacentral:lncRNA from 1 species